AACAUAAGAUCACGUUGAUUGUAGAGUCACAGAGUGGGGAAUACCAUUGUGAAGCUACAAACAAACUGGGGACAAUGAAAUCAAACCCUGUCAACAUUAACGUUACAUACCGGCCCGAGGUUGAGGUGUCCAUGUCCCCUACUGCCACAGUUA